CUGUCAAUAGUUCGUAACAUUUUAAUUUUUCUGUUUCAGAAUUCCGCCAGAAAAUUCUUUGAAAUUUAGUUUGACUGUGGUGAAGCCAUACCUGUCUGUACAUUUUGGAAAUGUCUGCCGUUAUAACGUAGGUCAUUUAAAGAAAUAUUAUUGUCUGAUUUUGCUGAGAAGUCAAACACAACUCUGCAUGGGGUGGUAUCACUAUCCUUUAAAACUGGAUGAUGUGGAACAUAAUAUGCUGAACCAUCAUCUUCGAGAUCAUUGAUAUCAACCUCUAAUUCCCUAAGGUGUCCUAAUCG